UGCUGUUGGGCCUAGCCAUGGUCUACAACUGGUAGUUUCUCUGACCUACUUUCAGCAUUUGGACUACAUUAAGAGCCAAUUUUCAACAUGACAUGCAAGACAGUAAUUGCUGUAGUUAUACCGCUGUUGGAAAUAAGUUGCAAGUGGAAAGAGGAAGUGACUAUGAAUGAGAAGAACAUGAUCUUACAGAUUAUUAUGAGGUAGACCACAAAAUGACCAUGUGCAUAAAACUGUUUAAAAAAUGUUGGAUUAGUUCUCACGGCAAACUCCAGAAUUUUGUGCUCAAGCCAAGCAUGAAGAUUGUAGUACAUGGCUUUUAAUAUUAAGGUUAAAAUUAAGAGGUUGAAGCUACAGUCAUGGAAGAAACCCCAGAGGCUCCAGUGACAGUGACCAGUGGCUCUCUAUGUCAACACUUCAUUUAAACCGAUGAGUGGCAG